rnacentral:rRNA from 1 species
AGUAGGGAAUCUUCCGCAAUGGACGAAAGUCUGACGGAGCAACGCCGCGUGAGUGAUGAAGGUUUUCGGAUCGUAAAGCUCUGUUGUUAGGGAAGAACAAGUACCGUUCGAAUAGGGCGGUACCUUGACGGUACCUAACCAGAAAGCCACGGCUAACUACGUGCCAGCAGCCGCGGUAAUACGUAGGUGGCAAGCGUUGUCCGGAAUUAUUGGGCGUAAAGCGCGCGCAGGCGGUUUCUUAAGUCUGAUGUGAAAGCCCACGGCUCAACCGUGGAGGGUCAUUGGAAACUGGGGAACUUGAGUGCAGAAGAGAAAAGCGGAAUUCCACGUGUAGCGGUGAAAUGCGUAGAGAUGUGGAGGAACACCAGUGGCGAAGGCGGCUUUUUGGUCUGUAACUGACGCUGAGGCGCGAAAGCGUGGGGAGCAAACAGGAUUAGAUACCC